rnacentral:rRNA from 1 species
GCGAAAACUUUACAAUGCGAGCAAUCGUGAUAAGGGAACUCCGAGUGCCUGUAAAAUCAGGCUGUCCGCCAGUUUAAAUAACUGGUGAAGAAAGGGCCGGGCAAGACCGGUGCCAGCCGCCGCGGUAAUACCGGCGGCUCGAGUAGUGGCCACUAUUACUGGGCUUAAAGCGUUCGUAGCUGGUCUGUUAAGUCUCUGGGGAAAUCUUCCGGCUUAACCGGAAGGCGUCUCAGGGAUACUGGCAGACUAGGGACCGGAAGAGGUGAGAGGUACUCCAGGGGUAGGAGUGAAAUCCUGUAAUCCUUGGGGGACCACCUGUGGCGAAGGCGUCUCACCAGGACGGCUCCGACAGUGAGGAACGAAAGCUGGGGGAGCAAACC